rnacentral:lncRNA from 1 species
AUACCAGACGGGGUAUCGGGACGGGUCAUUUCACUCUCAUGCUGGACGGGGUAUUGAGGGAUGGUAUUUUGGAGCUCAUACUGGACGGGGUAUGGGAACGGCCCGUUAAUUGAAAAUAUUAAACAAAGGGGUUCAUGCAUAGUGAGAACAUCCCUAUGGAUCCCCAUAGAUACUAGUAGGCUGAUAAAAUAGAAAGUUGUUGUUGCCGACUGAUUGCAUAUGAGAUUAUGAUAUUGUUUAUGUUAUUGACUCUAUAGGUU